AUCUAACUGACGAGUGCCAAAUAGGUCGAGACGCGAGUCGGACUGGAU
rnacentral:hammerhead_ribozyme from 1 species